rnacentral:lncRNA from 1 species
AUGACCAUGUUUUACCUUAACUACCUUUUUUGGCCCCAUCUCCAGAUACAGUCACACUCUGAAGAGCUGGGGUUGGGAUUUCAACAUAUGAGUUUGAGGGGCACAACUCAGCACACAGCAGGAGCCAGCAGGAGCCACAGGCUGGAGAGGAGAGUGGAGGAGAGGAGACCAGCAUGUCCUCCAUCCCCUGCCUGCUCUAGCACCUCGAAUGGGCAAAGGCAGCCUCUAUUCCCAGCCUGCUCCCUUCCUGCCCUCCAUUGGAGCCACCGAGUUGGAGUCUGUUUCCUGCUGUGGUGCUGUCAGGCACAGUUUGUUCAUUCACGGUUUUUCAGUCCCUGUCUUCUGCCUGCUUGUCCCAGGCACCCAGGCACAUCGCUCCUAAGUAACAGGGAGUCAAUGGUUACGGAAUGCUGUGACAACACGACAGGAAAGGAGAGGGGGACUGCUUCCCCUCUAAUGGUAAGGAAGGCUGCCUGGAGGAGGAAACACUGCGGCUAUAAGCGGGAGCAAGUUUGCAAACGUGGAGCCCGGCUUCCUCCCAGCUGCCUCGGCUCCCUGAACGAUCUCACCGUCUAUUGCAAAGAACAGAGGGAGAGAAGACGGUGCCUGUAUGCCCCACGUCCUCUGAAAUCCAAUGUCACCUGGGCAAAUGUGACCACUGGGGAAGGACCUGCUUGGGGAAGUUGAAAAGCUGAAGCCCGAGGAGGUGGUUCCUGGGG